CCGGUCGCACGGGUGAGUAACACGUAUGCAACCUGCCGUCACAGGUGGAUAACCGGAAGAAAUUCCGACUAAUACAGCAUAACACUCCUGAGGGACAUCCUUCGGGAGUCAAGGAGGCAACUCCGGUGACGGAUGGGCAUGCGGCGCAUUUAGGUAGUUGGUAGGGUAACGGCCUACCAAGCCGACGAUGCGUAGGGGUUCUGAGAGGAAGGUCCCCCACAUUGGAACUGAGACACGGUCCAAACUCCUACGGAAGGCAGCAG
rnacentral:rRNA from 1 species